rnacentral:lncRNA from 1 species
UCCCUGUUAACCAAAUCACAACCGUUCAAUAGGUCGGUCCCUUAUCUUUCUCCCUGAUCCGAUUGCUGACACUUCAGGUCCAUCGGAUCUCAAUAACGGUUCAGAUUGUUUUGAUAUCCAGUGGGUUUCUUGGUCUUUAGGCAAUUUUACCGAAGGAUGUUGGGCCCAUCCCGGGCUAAGGUUGUUAUUCGAAGGGACUGCAGGGGAGGGAGAAGGGAAGA